CCCGCACAAGCGGUGGAGCAUGUGGUUUAAUUCGAAGCAACGCGAAGAACCUUACCAGGUCUUGACAUCCUCUGACAAUCCUAGAGAUAGGACGUCCCCUUCGGGGGCAGAGUGACAGGUGGUGCAUGGGUCGUCAGCUCGUGUCGUGAGAUGUUGGGUUAAGUCCCGCAACGAGCGCAACCCUUGAUCUUAGUUGCCAGCAUUCAGUUGGGCACUCUAAGGUGACUGCCGGUGACAAACCGGAGGAAGGUGGGGAUGACGUCAAAUCAUCAUGCCCCUUAUGACUCUGGGCUACACACGUGCUACAAUGGACUAGAACAAAGGGCAGGAAACCGCGAGGUUAAG
rnacentral:rRNA from 2 species